GAAUGUGAUGUAGUUCUCUGUCUUUGUUGUUUGUAGAGGAAUGUGAUGUUCACAUUCCUCUACAAACAACAAAGACAGAGAACUACAUCACAUUCC
rnacentral:pre_miRNA from 1 species